rnacentral:tmRNA from 1 species
UCACUUCACAUUCAGGAUCAAGGCUCUAUAUGAGCACCUGCCGGCUUAGGCCGGAUAUGAUGAUAAAUUGCAGCGUGCAAUAGAUGCAGCGGACCCGGGGGCGGUACCCGGCGGCUCCACCAUCACCCGCUCUCGCAUGAGGGCUACCCUGUUGUCGCAGGGGUGUUGACGGGGCCGAACUAGGAUCGACGUGUGUUGAAAAGCGUUGUUUUCAUCCGGGCUGAGUAACCCGUUCAAGGCUCAAAACUCAUAAGUGCCAACGACAACGACGCACUUGCUCUCGCAGCGUAAUUCUAGGGGCUAACGCCCUGAAGUUACAAAGCCAGAACACGGUUGGACCCACCGGGUAACAGAAGGGAUUCCAGGGGCCCGGGGUGAGCCUUUCAACAGAAUCACCCCACC